GAUGAACGCUGGCGGCGUGCCUAAUACAUGCAAGUCGAGCGAACGGACGAGAAGCUUGCUUUUCUGAUGUUAGCGGCGGACGGGUGAGUAACACGUGGAUAACCUACCUAUAAGACUGGGAUAACUUCGGGAAACCGGAGCUAAUACCGGAUAAUAUUUUGAACCGCAUGGUUCAAAAGUGAAAGACGGUCUUGCUGUCACUUAUAGAUGGAUCCGCGCUGCAUUAGCUAGUUGGUAAGGUAACGGCUUACCAAGGCAACGAUGCAUAGCCGACCUGAGAGGGUGAUCGGCCACACUGGAACUGAGACACGGUCCAGACUCCUACGGGAGGCAGCAGUAGGGAAUCUUCCGCAAUGGGCGAAAGCCUGACGGAGCAACGCCGCGUGAGUGAUGAAGGUCUUCGGAUCGUAAAACUCUGUUAUUAGGGAAGAACAUAUGUGUAAGUAACUGUGCACAUCUUGACGGUAACUAAUCAGAAAGCCACGGCUAACUACGUG
rnacentral:rRNA from 1 species